rnacentral:rRNA from 1 species
GACGAACGCUGGCGGCGUGCCUAAUACAUGCAAGUCGAACGCUUCUUUUUCCACCGGAGCUUGCUCCACCGGAAAAAGAGGAGUGGCGAACGGGUGAGUAACACGUGGGUAACCUGCCCAUCAGAAGGGGAUAACACUUGGAAACAGGUGCUAAUACCGUAUAACAAUCGAAACCGCAUGGUUUUGAUUUGAAAGGCGCUUUCGGGUGUCGCUGAUGGAUGGACCCGCGGUGCAUUAGCUAGUUGGUGAGGUAACGGCUCACCAAGGCCACGAUGCAUAGCCGACCUGAGAGGGUGAUCGGCCACAUUGGGACUGAGACACGGCCCAAACUCCUACGGGAGGCAGCAGUAGGGAAUCUUCGGCAAUGGACGAAAGUCUGACCGAGCAACGCCGCGUGAGUGAAGAAGGUUUUCGGAUCGUAAAACUCUGUUGUUAGAGAAGAACAAGGAUGAGAGUAACUGUUCAUCCCUUGACGGUAUCUAACCAGAAAGCCACGGCUAACUACGUGCCAGCAGCCGCGGUAAUACGUAGGUGGCAAGCGUUGUCCGGAUUUAUUGGGCGUAAAGCGAGCGCAGGCGGUUUCUUAAGUCUGAUGUGAAAGCCCCCGGUUCAACCGGGGAGGGUCAUUGGAAACUGGGAGACUUGAGUGCAGAAGAGGAGAGUGGAAUUCCAUGUGUAGCGGUGAAAUGCGUAGAUAUAUGGAGGAACACCAGUGGCGAAGGCGGCUCUCUGGUCUGUAACUGACGCUGAGGCUCGAAAGCGU